UACAGAGGGUGCAAGCGUUAAUCGGAAUUACUGGGCGUAAAGAGCACGUAGGUGGUUGGAUAAGUCAGAUGUGAAAUCCCCGGGCUUAACCUGGGAACUGCAUUUGAGACUGUUCAGCUAGAGUUUAGUAGAGGGAAGUGGAAUUCCACAUGUAGCGGUGAAAUGCGUAGAUAUGUGGAGGAACAUCAGUGGCGAAGGCGGCUUCCUGGCUUAAAACUGACACUGUGGCGCGAAAGCGUGGGUAGCAAACAGG
rnacentral:rRNA from 1 species